rnacentral:rRNA from 1 species
CCUACGGGAGGCAGCAGUGAGGAAUAUUGGUCAAUGGACGCAAGUCUGAACCAGCCAUGCCGCGUGCAGGAAGACGGCUCUCUGAGUUGUAAACUGCUUUUGUACGGGGGUAAACGCAGAUACGCGUAUCUGUCUGAAAGUAUCGUACGAAUAAGGAUCGGCGAACUCCGUGCCAGCAGCCGCGGUAAUACGGAGGAUUCAAGCGUUAUCCGGAUUUAGUGGGUUUAAAGGGUGCGUAGGCGGGAGGAUAAGUUAGAGGUGAAAUCCCGAGGCUCAACUUCGGAAUUGCCUCUGAUACGGUUCUGCUAGAGAGUAGUAGCGGUAGGCGGAAUGUAUGGUGUAGCGGUGAAAUGCUUAGAGAUCAUGCAGAACACCGAUUGCGAAGGCAGCUUAC